UCUCAGCGGGUCAGGCUCUGCC
rnacentral:misc_RNA from 1 species